rnacentral:rRNA from 1 species
CCUACGGGGGACAGCAGUAGGGAAUAUUGCUCAAUGGGGGCAACCCUGAAGCAGCCACGCCGCGUGGAGGAUGAAGGUUUUCGGAUUGUUAACUCCUUUUUUUAGAGAAGAUAAUGACGGUAUCUAACGAAUAAGCACCGGCUAACUCCGUGCCAGCAGCCGCGGUAAUACGGAGGGUGCAAGCGUUACUCGGAAUCACUGGGCAUAAAGAGGGCGUAGGCGGGAUAGCAAGUCAGAUGUGAAAUCCUAUGGCUUAACCAUAGAACUGCAUUUGAAACUGUUAUUCUAGAGUAUGGGAGAGGUAGGUGGAAUGCUUGGUGUAGGGGUAAAAUGCGUAGAGAUCAAGAAGAAUACUCAUUGCGAAGGCGACCUGCUAGAACAUAACUGACGCUGAUGCGCGAAAGCGUGGGGAGCAAACAGGAUUAGAUACCCCAGUAGUC